GGAUCCUCAGGCCAGCGCUGUCUGCACACUGGGGUGAUAAAGGUCUCUGCACCUGCUCUCUCCGUCCUCAUCCUUGCUGCUACCCUUGGAUCCCCUGCCCAUGGAUCCCUGGCCCAUGAAUCCUGGGAUGCUGGGCCAGAGAGCUUCUGAAGCUUCCUUGUUGUCCAGAACUGCGUCACGGAUUCUCUGUACAGGCUAGCCUUCCCUGCAGCAGUCAGCGUGUAAAAAUUUGUCUUCAGUGCUCCCUGUUAGCAGGCAGCUUCCGUUGGAAAAAGUAAUUUCAUUUUCAUAUUUGCUCAUUUCAUUGAUUCACUCAAUCAACAGACCAUCAACUUCCUAUCGUAUGCCAAGAACUGUGUUUGCUUCUGGGGAUAAGACAUAGGGCAGUUCAACAUGAGGCUCUUGCCCUAAACAGCUCCCAAUGCUAAGAACUGGCAAUUUACUACUUUGUUUGCAAUGACUGGUCAGAAAGAAUCAUCAAGGUAAACUUCGUGGAUUUUCUUUGACUACCUAGACUCCUUUCAACAUUGAAAUUCUAGACUUUCGAGACAAGAAUAGACCUGGGGUGUGGUGAGGAGACGUGAGAGACCUGUAAGUGGAAGUAUCUGAGUAUUGGCCCACCACCUAGCAUUAAUAGCAAUUUCAUAGACUUGGGUGAUGGUGUUCAUAAUUUUCUACAGUAUUUGUAUGGUACAUAUAAAAAUAGUAGUUUAUAUCUAGUAAUUCACCUGCAAGUCUUACUUGAUUUGGAAGCUACAGGACACUUCAACUGACAGCUGGGAUUGCUGGAAUUUAGUUUUUAUAUCUAAAGCAAAACAUUUUGAAGUGUAUAUUGAGACUCUAGGAAGGACCUUUACUACAAAAUCCUUACAGCUUAGGAUCCUUCUGACCUUGAAGAAAGGGAAAAUGAAGAUACUGUGGUUGCACCACUUCAGAAGCAAAGCCGGAAGUUCUGUGCUUUAGAGGUGGCGGCGGCAUCCUGAGUGCAGGAGUCUUGGAGUCCGAAGGCU